rnacentral:sRNA from 12 species
CUCAAUGGGAUUCUCCUAAAAAAGAGAAAAUCGUCCGGAUCAGGACA